rnacentral:rRNA from 1 species
AGAGUUUGAUCCUGGCUCAGGAUGAACGCUGGCGGCGUGCUUAACACAUGCAAGUCGAACGGUGAAGCCCCGCUUGCGGGGUGGAUCAGUGGCGAACGGGUGAGUAACACGUGAGCAACCUGCCCCUGACUCUGGGAUAAGCGCUGGAAACGGCGUCUAAUACUGGAUACGAGACGUGAUCGCAUGGUCAACGUUUGGAAAGAUUUUUCGGUUGGGGAUGGGCUCGCGGCCUAUCAGCUUGUUGGUGAGGUAAUGGCUCACCAAGGCGUCGACGGGUAGCCGGCCUGAGAGGGUGACCGGCCACACUGGGACUGAGACACGGCCCAGACUCCUACGGGAGGCAGCAGUGGGGAAUAUUGCACAAUGGGCGCAAGCCUGAUGCAGCAACGCCGCGUGAGGGAUGACGGCCUUCGGGUUGUAAACCUCUUUUAGCAGGGAAGAAGCGAGAGUGACGGUACCUGCAGAAAAAGCACCGGCUAACUACGUG